GACGAACGCUGGCGGCGUGCUUAACACAUGCAAGUCGAACGCUGAAGCUCAGCUUUUGUUGGGUGGAUGAGUGGCGAACGGGUGAGUAACACGUGAGUAACCUGCCUCCUUCUUUGGGAUAACGCCCGGAAACGGGUGCUAAUACUGGAUAUUCACUGGUCUUCGCAUGGGGGUUGGUGGAAAGGGUUUUUCUGGUGGGGGAUGGGCUCGCGGCCUAUCAGCUUGUUGGUGGGGUGAUGGCCUACCAAGGCUUUGACGGGUAGCCGGCCUGAGAGGGUGACCGGUCACAUUGGGACUGAGAUACGGCCCAGACUCCUACGGGAGGCAGGAGUGGGGAAUAUUGCACAAUGGGCGCAAGGCUGAUGCAGCGACGCCGCGUGAGGGAUGGAGGCCUUCGGGUUGUGAACCUCUUUCGCUCAUGGUCAAGCCGCAACAAUGGUUGUGGUGAGGGUAGUGGGUAAAGAAGCGCCGGCUAACUACGUG
rnacentral:rRNA from 1 species